CUUGGUGUGACUGUUGUGGAGAUUUUAUAUGGGGCCUAUACAACUCAACAGAUUGUCUUAGAUGCCUUAAUUGUCGUUAUACCUGUCACCAGAGGUGCCAACAUCUUGUGACGCUUGACUGUAAAGGAUCAUCUGGUGAUACACAAACAACCAAUUUCAGUGAAAUAAUUGACAACACUUUAAAAAGUGAUGUUAGAGAGAGGGACAGGUUGUCACCUUUAUUUUUUGAACAUCUUGAUGGGGAAGAGUUACGUCAUAGAAUUGAGCGCUAUAAUGCAUUGCACCAUAGUUCUGAAAUGGUUUUGGUAAGAA